CCUACGGGAGGCAGCAGUGGGGAAUUUUGGACAAUGGGCGCAAGCCUGAUCCAGCAAUGCCGCGUGCAGGAUGAAGGCCUUCGGGUUGUAAACUGCUUUUGUACGGAACGAAACGGUCUGCUUUAAUACAGUGGGCUAAUGACGGUACCGUAAGAAUAAGCACCGGCUAACUACGUGCCAGCAGCCGCGGUAAUACGUAGGGUGCGAGCGUUAAUCGGAAUUACUGGGCGUAAAGCGUGCGCAGGCGGUUAUAUAAGACAGAUGUGAAAUCCCCGGGCUCAACCUGGGACCUGCAUUUGUGACUGUAUAGCUAGAGUACGGUAGAGGGGGAUGGAAUUCCGCGUGUAGCAGUGAAAUGCGUAGAUAUGCGGAGGAACACCGAUGGCGAAGGCAAUCCCCCUGGACCUGUACUGACGCUCAUGCACGAAAGCGUGGGGAGCAAACAGGAUUAGAUACCCUGGUAGUCCACGCCCUAAACGAUGUCAACUGGUUGUUGGGUCUUCACUGACUCAGUACGAAGCUAACGCGUGAAGUUGACCGCCUGGGGAGUACGGCGCAGGUUGAAACUCAAAGGAUUGACGGCGNGAGACGNGACGACGGACGACGACGAGGGAGGAGG
rnacentral:rRNA from 1 species